UCGCCUGUUUACCAAAAACAUCGCCUCUUGAAAUUUUAUAAGAGGUCCAGCCUGCCCAGUGACUCUGUUCAACGGCCGCGGUAUCCUAACCGUGCGAAGGUAGCGUAAUCACUUGUUCUUUAAAUGAGGACUAGUAUGAAUGGCACCACGAAGGUUCUACUGUCUCCUUUUUUUAAUCAGUAAAACUAAUCUUCCCGUGAAGAAGCGGGAAUAAACCUAUAAGACGAGAAGACCCUAUGGAGCUUUAAACUAAAUAUCAAUUGCUUAUUUCUUCCAAUAUUUCAGAAUUAUAUCUCUUAUCUUAGCUUUUUGAUAUUAAGUUUUAGGUUGGGGUGACCGCGGAGUAAAAAAUAACCUCCACAUUGAAAGGUAUACCUUUCCUGAGCAAUAAACUACUGUUUUAUGCACCAACAUAUUGACAUCAAUUGACCCAAUAUUUUGAUCAACGAACCAAGUUACCCUAGGGAUAACAGCGCAAUCUACUUCAAGAGCUCCUAUCGACAAGUAGGUUUACGACCUCGAUGUUGGAUCAGGGUAUCCCAGUGGUGCAGCCGCUACUAAAGGUUU
rnacentral:rRNA from 1 species